GAAGUUAAAUUUAUUUAUGAAUUUAUUAAUUAUGUUUUUAGGUGAAAUUUAAAUGUUAUGUAAUUUUAUCAUAUAUUCUUUUAAAGUUGAAUUUUAAACUAGGAUUAGAUACCCUAUUAUUUUAUCUGUAAAAUAUUCCCGGGGUAGUAGUAGAUAUUUUCUUGAAACCCAAAGGAUUUGGCGGUGUUUUAGUCUAUUUAGAGGAACCUGCCCCUUAAUCGAUAGUCCUCGUUUUAUCUUUCUUUAUAUUGAUUUCAGUAUGUAUACCUCCGUUAUAAGUUUAUCUUUUAGGUUAUUUAC
rnacentral:rRNA from 1 species